AGCAGUCGCCACGGUAAUACAGAGGGUGCGAGCGUUAAUCGGAUUUACUGGGCGUAAAGCGUGCGUAGGCGGCUUUUUAAGUCGGAUGUGAAAUCCCUGAGCUUAACUUAGGAAUUGCAUUCGAUACUGGGAAGCUAGAGUAUGGGAGAGGAUGGUAGAAUUCCAGGUGUAGCGGUGAAAUGCGUAGAGAUCUGGAGGAAUACCGAUGGCGAAGGCAGCCAUCUGGCCUAAUACUGACGCUGAGGUACGAAAGCAUGGGGAGCAAACAGGAUUAGAUACCCCCUAGUCCCUGUCUCUUAUACA
rnacentral:rRNA from 1 species